rnacentral:rRNA from 1 species
AUUGAACGCUGGCGGCAUGCCUACCACAUGCAAGUCGAACGGCAGCGCGGGUAGCUUGCUACCUGGCGGCGAGUGGCGGACGGGUAGUAAUAUGUAGGAAUCUACCUAGAGGAGCGGGAUAACUUGGGGAAACUCAAGCUAAUACCACAUAAUCCCCACGGGGGAAAGCAGGGGACCUUCGGGCCUUGCGCCUUAUGCUGAGCCUACAUCGGAUUAGCUUGUUGGUGGUGUAAAGGCCUACCAAGGCGACGAUCCGUAGCUGGUCUGAGAGGAUGAUCAGCCACACUGGAACUGAGACACGGUCCAGACUCCUACGGGAGGCAGCAGUGGGGAAUAUUGGACAAUGGGGGGAACCCUGAUCCAGCAAUGCCGCGUGUGUGAAGAAGGCCUUAGGGUUGUAAAGCACUUUCAGUGGGGAGGAAGUUGCGUGUGCUAAUAUCUUACGUAAUUGACGUUACCCACAGAAGAAGCACCGGCUAACUCUGUGCCAGCCGCCGCCGUAA